rnacentral:rRNA from 1 species
AUUGAACGCUGGCGGCAUGCCUUACACAUGCAAGUCGAACGGCAGCACGGGGCAACCUGGUGGCGAGUGGCGAACGGGUGAGUAAUGCAUCGGAACGUACCUUUCAGUGGGGGAUAACGUAGCGAAAGUUACGCUAAUACCGCAUAUUCUGUGAGCAGGAAAGCAGGGGAUCGCAAGACCUUGCGCUGAUCGAGCGGCCGAUGUCAGAUUAGCUAGUUGGUGAGGUAAAGGCUCACCAAGGCGACGAUCUGUAGCGGGUCUGAGAGGAUGAUGCGCCACACUGGAUCUGAGACACGGUCGAGACUCCUACGGGAGGCAGCAGUGGGGAAUUUUGGAGAAUGGGGGCAACCCUGAUCCAGCCAUGCCGCGUGAGUGAAGAAGGCCUUCGGGUUGUAAAGCUCUUUCGGCCGGGAAGAAAUCGCACGGGCUAAUACCCUGCGUGGAUGACGGUACCGGAAUAAGAAGCACCGGCUAACUACGUGCCAGCAGCCGCGGUAAGAC